GAUGAACGCUGGCGGCGUGCCUAAUACAUGCAAGUCGAGCGAACGGACGAGAAGCUUGCUUCUCUGAUGUUAGCGGCUGACGGGUGAGUAACACGUGGAUAACCUACCUAUAAGACUGGGAUAACUUCGGGAAACCGGAGCUAAUACCGGAUAAUAUUUUGAACCGCAUGGUUCAAAAGUGAAAGACGGUCUUGCUGUCACUUAUAGAUGGAUCCGCGCUGCAUUAGCUAGUUGGUAAGGUAACGGCUUACCAAGGCAACGAUGCAUAGCCGACCUGAGAGGGUGAUCGGCCACACUGGAACUGAGACACGGUCCAGACUCCUACGGGAGGCAGUAGUAGGGAAUCUUCCGCAAUGGGCGAAAGCCUGACGGAGCAACGCCGCGUGAGUGAUGAAGGUCUUCGGAUCGUAAAACUCUGUUAUUAGGGAAGAACAUAUGUGUAAGUAACUGUGCACAUCUUGACGGUACCUAAUCAGAAAGCCACGGCUAACUACGUG
rnacentral:rRNA from 1 species